rnacentral:rRNA from 1 species
UACGUAGGUGGCAAGCGUUGUCCGGAUUUACUGGGCGUAAAGGGCGUGCAGGCGGUUUGUUAAGUGCAGGGUGAAAGCUCCCGGCUCAACUGGGAGAGGUCCUUGCAUACUGGCGAACUCGAGGGAGGCAGAGGAAAGUGGAAUUCCCGGUGUAGUGGUGAUAUGCGUAGAUAUCGGGAGGAACACCUGCGGUGUAGACGGCUUACUGGACGGUAACUGACGCUGAGGCACGAAAGCGUGGGUAGCAAACAGG